UACUGUAUUUAUUAAAAAAAAUUCCGCAUAUAAGUGGACCCGCACAGUUCAAACCUGUGUUGUUCAAGGGUCCACUGUGUAAUACU
rnacentral:pre_miRNA from 14 species